CAGGGCGUAGCUAAGCUAGCUCAGCGCCUCACUUACACCGAGAAGACACCCGUGCAAAUCGGGUCGCCCUGA
rnacentral:tRNA from 1 species